rnacentral:siRNA from 1 species
UAUGCAAUCAAAUGGUGUUGU